UAAGGAAUAUUGGUCAAUGGACGCAAGUCUGAACCAGCCAUGCCGCGUGGAGGAUGAAGGUCCUCUGGAUUGUAAACUUCUUUUCUCUGGGGCGAAAAAAGGGCUUUCUAGCUCACUUGACAGUACCAGAGGAAUAAGCACCGGCUAACUCCGUGCCAGCAGCCGCGGUAAUACGGAGGGUGCAAGCGUUAUCCGGAUUCACUGGGUUUAAAGGGUGCGUAGGAGGGCAGGUAAGUCAGUGGUGAAAUCCCCGAGCUUAACUUGGGAACUGCCGUUGAUACUAUCUGUCUUGAAUAUUGUGGAGGUAAGCGGAAUAUGUCAUGUAGCGGUGAAAUGCUUAGAUAUGACAUAGAACACCAAUUGCGAAGGCAGCUUGCUACACAAUUAUUGACUCUGAUGCACGAAAGCGUGGGGAUCAAACAGGAUUAGAUACCCCCGUAGUCC
rnacentral:rRNA from 1 species